rnacentral:rRNA from 1 species
AGCAGCCGCGGUAAUUCCAGCUCCAAUAGCGUAUAUUAAAGUUGUUGCAGUUAAAAAGCUCGUAGUUGAAUUUCGGGGUUAGCAGGUCGGUCGUGCCAUCGGUAUGAACUGGUCUCGCUGAUCCCUCCCUCUUGACGAACUGUGAUGCCAUUAAUUUGGUGUCGCAGGGAAUCAGGACUGUUACUUUGAAAAAUUAGAGUGUUUAAAGCAGGCUCACGCUUGAAUACAUUAGCAUGGAAUAAUGAAAUAGGACGUUUGAUCCUAUUUUGUUGGUUUCUAGGAUCGACGUAAUGAUUAAUAGGGAUAGUUGGGGGCAUUAGUAUUCAAUUGUCAGAGGUGAAAUUCUUGGAUUUAUUGAAGACUAACUACUGCGAAAGCAUUUGCCAAGGAUGUUUUCAUUAAUCAAGAACGAAAGUUAGGGGAUCGAAGACGAUCAGAUACCGUCGUAGUCUUAACCAUAAACUAUAGCCGACUAGGGAUCGGAUGAUGUUUAAUUUUUAAUGUACUCUA